GAGGCGAUCAGAAGUUAUUGCCACUCCCCCAAGACCCCGAUGAUUGCUCACAACAACAUUCCAUCCAGAUUUAACCAUCUUGAAAGCAAGAUGCUUGACGUAAGCAGAACCAGAAUCGCUUGUUAAACCAGGAAUCACCACAACGAUGGGAGUUUUGUCAUCACUCUGAACUCCAUCAAAAUGCUCAAUGGAUGGCUUUUCAACAUCGAUGUUUCUUAGCCAAUCCAAA
rnacentral:misc_RNA from 1 species